UCUACGGGAGGCAGCAGUGGGGAAUAUUGCGCAAUGGGCGAAAGCCUGACGCAGCGACGCCGCGUGAGGGAUGAAGGUCUUCGGAUCGUAAACCUCUGUCAGCAGGGAAGAACGGUCACUGUGCUAAUCAGCAGUGAAUUGACGGUACCUGCAAAGGAAGCACCGGCUAACUCCGUGCCAGCAGCCGCGGUAAUACGGAGGGUGCGAGCGUUAAUCGGAAUUACUGGGCGUAAAGCGCUCGUAGGCGGUAUGUCAAGUCAAGUGUGAAAUCCCCGCGCUCAACGUGGGAACUGCCUUUGAAACUGGCAAACUGGAGUGUGUGAGAGGAUAGUGGAAUUGCAGGUGUAGGAGUGAAAUCCGUAGAUAUCUGGAGGAACAUCAGUGGCGAAGGCGACUAUCUGGCACAUAACUGACGCUGAGGAGCGAAAGCGUGGGUAGCAAACAGGAUUAGAUACCCCAGUAGUC
rnacentral:rRNA from 1 species